rnacentral:sRNA from 1 species
ACGACGUCCUGCAGUCUCUCUUCCAGGGUC